rnacentral:rRNA from 1 species
AGCAGCCGCGGUAAUUCCAGCUCCAAUAGCGUAUAUUAAAGUUGUUGCAGUUAAAAAGCUCGUAGUUGAAUUUCGGGAUUGGCGCAUCGGUCGUGCCUCACGGGGUAUGAACUGGUGCAGUCAAUUUCUCACCUUCUGGAGAACCGCGAUGUCCUUAAUUGGAUGCCGCGGGGAACCCAGGACCUUUACUUUGAAAAAAUUAGAGUGUUUAAAGCAGGCAUUUUUGCUUGAAUACAUUAGCAUGGAAUAAUAAAAUAGGACGGCAUGGUUCUAUUUUGUUGGUUUCUAGGACCACCGUAAUGAUUAAUAGGGAUAGUUGGGGGCAUUAGUAUUCAAUUGUCAGAGGUGAAAUUCUUGGAUUUAUUGAAGACUAACUACUGCGAAAGCAUUUGCCAAGGAUGUUUUCAUUAAUCAAGAACGAAAGUUAGGGGAUCGAAGACGAUCAGAUAC